rnacentral:rRNA from 1 species
UACGUAGGGGGCAAGCGUUGUCCGGAAUUAUUGGGCGUAAAGAGCGCGUAGGCGGUCCGAUAAGUCGGCUGUGAAAGUCAGGGGCUCAACCCUUGAAAGCCGGCCGAUACUGUCGGACUAGAGUCCGGAAGAGGCGAGUGGAAUUCCUGGUGUAGCGGUGGAAUGCGCAGAUAUCAGGAGGAACACCAACGGCGAAGGCAGCUCGCUGGGACGGUACUGACACUGAGGCGCGAAAGCGUGGGGAGCGAACAGG